UUAAAAAGGCGCUUUUUGCAAUAAAUUUUGGUAUUUUUAAGCUUUUGUAUUAAAUUUUCUAAGAAAUUGUGUAUUUUAGUUUGUUUUAUCUGUAUUAUUUUAAUUAUUUAACUUUUUUAAAACUACUGCCUUUGAGAUUUGGCGCCAUGAACAGUCAUCGCCUAAGUUUAAUGAAAGAACUGAAUGAUCAUUUGGCUGGUGAUUUACUUUUGUGUUUGGUUACAGAACUUUGUGGAGCUUCCGGUGCGAAUGAAAUUAAUUAGUUUGUAUUGUGUUUAAAAUUUAAACUUUAAAUGUUCAGAACUUACUGCACACAUGGAGCAUCAUUUCCAAACUAUACGCUCCUCAGCCUUUAAAGAUUUUUGUGCUCAACAAUUAUUACAAAAUGUUUGUUAUGUCUAUUAUUACGACUAUGUGGAGCAAUACAUAAUUUUCGUUAUUGAUUCAUUUUCAUUUUGUCUACGUCAAUUGGAUGAUGUAAACUAAGGAAUCGCAUAAAUUAUGAAAUUAUAAAUGAUUUGCAAACUUUGGCAAUGGAAUUUUAUGUGGCGUUAAUGAUGAAUUUCUCCGCGUUUGGUGGUCCCUUUUCGGGUAUACAUCAGUUUGCUGCCAAAUUUGGUCAUGACGCCCAAUCGCCGGGUGCUUUUUCUACGCCUGGCAUUAAUGGUAAUGUCCCGACAUCGGCUGAUAAUCAUGUGCAGCGUUAUCAAACGAAUGGUAAUCAUUUUCAGCAGAAUACACCAAAUGGUAAGUGAGAAAGAGAGUUAUUUAAAAAAUUAUAUCAUUUUCAUUAACGUUCUUUAUAAAAAAAACAAACUUUUUCUAUAGAAAACAAUUCUGAAACAAUGACAUCUUUCCAAUAUUAAAAGUUUCAAAAAUAAAGUAAACUGUCCCCCAAAUCCAUUGUAUAAAACAGUUUAACUAUUCCCAUAUAAAUUUAUCUUAAAAAGAGCAAAUCUUUCCAUAGAAACGUUGAUGAAAGAACAGAACUAGAACUGAAUUAGAACUGA